rnacentral:rRNA from 1 species
GUAGGGAAUAUUGGGCAAUGGAUGCAAGUCUGACCCAGCCAUCCCGCGUGCCGGAAGAAGGCCCUCAGGGUUGUAAACGGCUUUUGACGGUGAAGAACCGACAGGAUGCGUCCUGUUUUGACGGUAGCCGUUGAAUAAGCACCGGCUAACUCCGCGCCAGCAGCCGCGGUAAUACGGAGGGUGCGAGCGUUGUCCGGAUUUAUUGGGUUUAAAGGGUGCGUAGGCUGGAAGGUCAGUCAGCGGUGAAAAGCUAUCGCUUAACGAUAGUCUUGCCGCAGAUACUUCCUUUCUUGGAUGAGGAGGAGGCCACUGGAACGGAUGGUGUAGCGGUGAAAUGCAUAGAUAUCAUCCAGAACACCGAUUGCGAAGGCAGGUGGCUGUACCUUAAUCGACGCUGAUGCACGAAAGCAUGGGGAGCAAACAGGAUUAGAAACCCGUGUAGUCC